UUGGAGGGCAAGUCUGGUGCCAGCAGCCGCGGUAAUUCCAGCUCCAAUAGCGUAUAUUAAAGUUGUUGCAGUUAAAAAGCUCGUAGUUGAAUUUCGGGGUCAAUAAGUUGGUCGUGCCAAUGGUAUGCACUGGCUUUAUUGAUUCCUACCUCUUGACGAACUGUGAUGCCAUUAAUUUGGUGUCGCAAGGAAUCAGGACUGUUACCUUGAAAAAAUUAGAGUGUUUAAAGCAGGCUUACGCUUGAAUACAUUAGCAUGGAAUAAUGAAAUAGGACGUUUGAACCUAUUUUGUUGGUUUCUAGGAUCGACGUAAUGAUUAAUAGGGAUAGUUGGG
rnacentral:sRNA from 1 species